rnacentral:lncRNA from 1 species
UUUGACUUCCGUAAAACCGUCCACUCGUAACGAUGUAGCAAAUUUUCUUCCCGAAAGUUUCAACAAAACUGACCUUUAGCCUAAUUUGAAUAUUCCGGACACUUUUCGUGUUUUGACUUUUUCGAUCCGGAGUACGGUUUUCCCCGGAGUCGGUCCGGCGGAGUUUUUCGGGUAUUUUAAUUGUUGAUAAUUAUCCAGUUUGUCUCGAUAAACGUGAAACGAGAUAUUUUGAUUAUUAUACUCAUCCUUAUCUUGUAAUAAUUGCAAUGGGACCCGCAGACCAAUAAUUGAGUUAAAAAGCCCCGUUUUGAUGAUUAUCUUGAAAACCAGUACCGAUUGGACCCCGCUUUAUUAAUAUAAAGCUAUUAAAUACGUAUUUUCAUGUCAUAUACGAUCCAAAGGGGUACCAAUUAUUUGUAAAUAUAAAUAGACCUUUCUAGAGCUUAUUUUCACCCGUAAAAUCAUUUCACCAGUUUCUUUCCACGAAUACCGAGAGAAACCGAGCGGUGUUCUUCGUGUUCUUCAUAAUCAAACGAAGAUUUGAAGGUGUUAUUGGAAUCCGAUGGAGGCGUAUAAAUAGUCAAAACGAAGCUCUUGACGAGUAGAAUCUAGUAUAAUCAUCCGUUUAUAUGCAGAUUGAACAGGUGAUUUUAUUUGAUUUUUAUAAAAUUCGAAUUAUUAAGAUUUAAAUAGUGGAUUUUUGCAAACGUGUUUGUUUGAUUGUUUUGAUGAUUCCAUGUUGUAGUACAUGUUUUUCUCGUCGUUUUGGUAUAUUAUAUGUUGAAUUUCGAGUUCGGAAUCAUAUAGAAAAGUCAGUUUGAUUAUUGGGUUGUGUUCUUGAGUGUUCUUGAAGGUUUGCAAUCGAUUUUGGGGGUUUUUAAUCUGUUAAAUCUGGAUGUUAUUCGAAGGCACCAACACGUUUAGUGCACUGAGUAGAGUUGAUUGGUAGCUUCAGAUUGAGUGGAGGUGGUCGGAGGAGGCCUUGCCGGAGUCCGGCAGUCGAGAAUGAAGGAUGGAAAUCCGGCCAUUUGGCCUCGUUUCUUCAAAUUUUAAGCUGUAGAAUGAGUUUGUGGUGGUGUAUUUAUGGUAUCUGGAGUUGCUGGUGAUUAACGGAGGCCGGGAACAGUAGUUCCGGCGAGUCAAGGGGGCGGCGAUGGAAAAUUUCCAUUUAGCCCCCAGACUUUUGAAGAUGGUGAAGUGUGUGUAUCAUGGUUUCAAAACUUACACAACGGCCCCUGUAACUUUGAAAAGUUACAGUUUAAACCUUGGGCCAAAACUUUCAAAAGUUUACAAAAUAAACCUUUUGAUUUAAUUUUCUAAAAUUGUUUUAUUUAAUUAUUUUAAAUUCCAAAAAUAGUUUUUAAUUAUUUCUUUAUUCAAAAAUAAAUCUAAAUUAGUUUAUUAAUUAAUUUUAAUUAGUAAUUAAUUAUUUUAAUUGGUCAAUUAAUUUAAAUAUUAAUUGAUUAAUUAUUUUAAUUAAUUAUUAAUUGAUUUUAAUUGAUUAAUUAAUUGGAUUUAAUUAAUCCUUUUUGAUUUAAAAAUUCCGAAAAAUAGUUUCGAGCUUUAAAAUAUUUUUCCAAAUUAUUUUCAAGGCUCGAUAAUUGUUUAUGAAUGAUUUCAAGUCCAAUUUCAAGUAUUUGGGACUUGAUUAUUUAUUCGAAAAGUGAUUCUUUUAUCGAUUUUAAUUCCGAAAAAUGUUUAAAAAUUCUGGAAAAUUCCCGAAAAAUCAUUUUUAACCCAAGACUUGAUUUAAUAUCAAUUGGGAUGGGAAACCUUAUGUGUUGUGUGUUGUCUGCUAUUGGUUGGAUGUGUUAUGUGCCGAUAGGAGAGUGAGAAAACUGUUUUGAGCAUAACUUUUGAUCCGUAAGUCGGAAUCAGGUGAAACGAAAGAGAGAAGGAAGCUUAUAACGUCUAUUUUAAUAUGAUGUGACUAUAUGGCUGAGUCUAUAAGGUGGAUAAUUGUUGAUAAGUAUGCAGAAUGUGAUAAUAUGUGAUCUAAGUGCUAUCAAGUGAUGAUUAUGUGAAGUACGUGUUAGUUUUGAUAUUGUGAAGUGAUAAAUGAUUCGUAUGAUUGAUAUUGGAUAAGAAUAUAUGGAUUAUAGCUAUUGGAUUUUGUUGGUUGAUUAAUGAUUGAGAUAGGAUAAUAGGUGGAUAGUCUUAUACAUAGACGAGACGAUGUCGGAUUUUCGAUAAGGAUUUAUAUGAUAAUUGAUUGGUGAUAUGUUAUGUGGAAUAUGAUUGACUAUAUGUUAGAGUCAAAGCAUGCUUAUGUGUUACGUGGUAUCUGAUAAGUUUAAAGGGGUAUAUAAGUGGGUAUCGGUAUACGUGAUAUGUAUAUGCGAUAUAUUGUUUAGUGACUAUAGUAUUAUCUUAUUCUCGUAAAGGAUUUGGACGAGACGUGUACGCUCGAAGAGGUCAGGAAGUCGAAAUGGUAUUGCAAAGCGAAUAAGGGAUGAAUCGAGUAAGCGAAGCGAUGUGGCGAAUAGAGUACGGCUAGAGAUGGUCUAGAAAUUAUAAUAUGGAUAGAUUGUGAAAGUGGAAACAUGAGAUAGAGAUGUGAGACUGGAGUCAGAUUUAAGGCAAGUAUCCUGCACCCUGCUUUUGGAUAUAUUGCAUAUUCUGAUCCAUUCUUUUUAUAUGUGUUGCAAGUAUCCUAAACCUUUCUCUUGGAUAUAUUGCAAAUAUUCUGAUCCAUUCCUUUGGUAUAUGUUUCAAGUAUUCAUACCUUUCUUUUCAAUGUUCGAAAGUGCGAGUAUUCUGACCCAUUCUUUCUAAUCUUCAAGUUUCUAAAGAAUUUCCGUUUUACAAAUUAAUUCGAAGUUCAGAUUGUCAUUGAAGCAUGUGUUGCUCAGUGAUAGUUAGAGCUUUGAAUGAAUUGGGAUCUUCUUGAUUAUUCAACCCGCCAUUGUCAUGCUGGUUUAGCAGGCUAAAUUCAGUUGCUUAGCCGAUAAUGGAGGAUACUGAAUAGUUGAGGAUUUCCUGAACUGUGAUUUAUGAAAUGAUGGAUCAUGAUUUAUGAAUAGAUUAUUAUCAAAGUUUGAAUUGGAAUUAUUCUGUUGUUGAUGAUAUUUAUGAUGAUGUUCUGUUAAUUUACAUUGGCUUCUUGAAUUGAAUUAGAGAAUUGGAUUAUUGUUUUUAUAUAAACCUGUGGACCAGAUUCGUGGUCAUGUUAGGCCAAUGAGUGCCUUGGAUCCAGUGAUAGAGCAUGGCGGGGCCUGCUCGGGGUUAGUGCGGAACUGAUCAGCUGCCUAACCUUGGUUUUAAUUAAAAUGUGAUAGUCCAAUUCAAUAAUUCUUUUGGAAAGAUUGAAUUCCUCAGUAUUCAAUUGCUGCAAGGUAUUGUGAUUUUCUUAUACAAUACCUAAACUCGGAACUCAGGUUGAAUCCUUUUAUAUCUUGAACUCGUGAACUUCUGUUAUAUCAUUUCAGAAUUUUCAUUGUUUAUUAUUACUUGCUGAGCAUUGUUGCUCACUCUUGCUAUUCUCUUUUAACCAUUUCAGAAAGGAUUAAAGAUGAAUGGCUAGACUAUGAUUGCGAGUAAGGCUAAGGCUAGGCGAGGAUUCAGAGUUGAGGAUUCAGUGGUCAAGGAGUAUUCAGGAAGAUUUAUAAAGUUGGUGCUAGCUAGAGUUGAGCUAUUGAGAUUCAGAUGUAAUUCAUAGCUGGAACAAAUUGGCAGUGAUUCUUCUUAUCGAAGAUGAUCCGAUUUGGUAAGAGAUGUUGUGUAAUAAUUAGUGAUGGAUUCUAAUUUCAAUACUGUAACCUGGAUGCGAUCCUGUUGAUUUUAGGGGGUUUAAAUGUUCUCUUUCAAAUCUUUUAUUAAGGCUUUCAGGUUUUGAAUUUCAAGUUUUAAAUUCUUUGAUUUUAUUAUCUUUCAAAAAAAAAAAAAAAAUAAUAAAAAAAAUUCAAGUUUCUAAAGUGUUUUAAAAAUGGUUUUUAUGUGGUGACGUCAGAAUCCAGCCCCCGGAUUCUCGGACCGUCACAACAAAGUUAUAUAUUAAUUUUUAAUAAAAAUUAUUAUAAUUUUAAGAUUUUUUUAAAAUUUUAAGUCCAUUAAGUUAUAUAUUAAUUUUUAAUAAAAAUUAUUAAAAUUAUUUUAAAAUUUUAAGUCCAUCAAAGAGCUACGAAUAUAGGUCAUUUUUCUACAAUUUAAGUUAUUUAGAUACUCACAUCCGCUGUUCAUCUAAAAUAUAUUCUUUCACUUUACUUUUUUAAAUCAUAAUCUAACUAUGAUAUCAUGUUUAUGACCGUAUUCCGUGUUUCAAGCAUCAGUACCAUCUUUCCCUUCUUAAAGCUCCAAGCAAACCUAGUAGCCGGUGAAUGUCAUGAGGGUAUUAUUGACCGAAUCUAACUCUAAUUAUGCAGCGGCGGUUCGGUUGAAGUGGGCAAUCUCAUCAUCAUUGAUUAAAUCUGCACAGCAUGCAGGAGGAGGGGGAGUUUAUCAGUUGGUACACCAUUUUUUUGAAUUUAAUGAAGUUAAUAAAAUUAAUAAACUUUUACGAGAGUCCCCGCACGCGUAGCGCGGGCAAAAUUCCCUAGUAUAAAGUAAAAGUAAAACUCAACACGCGCGUAUAGUAAAGUAAAACCGAAGAUCAAAAUAACUCGUGAACGGUCGCAGGAACAAGUCAGUUUAAUCAACUCUCACCGGAAUCUAUGGAGGUGCCCGGAAUAGCUUAAAUCUCUCCGGAAAAUUGAUUUGACCGGAAAAUAAAGUCAUUCUAAUUAAAAUUAACCAAACCCCACUAACCUCUAAACCAAAUUCAACAAUAAAUUCUACACUAAAUAGCUCCUAAACUACCCAUUUCUCACCAAAACAAGACCCAAAUCAAGCCAAAACAACACCAAAAUACACC